CAAACUUUCCUGUCCUUUCUCUAAUACAUUAUAUUCCAAGUCAUGAAUUUUGGAUGGCAUGAGAGAGUGUACCUCAUCCUGGAAUCUAUGAAUCCUCACUCCACCAUCACUAACCUGAGAUGAAAUGGGUGGUGACAAGUCAUAAGACAAAGAUGACCACAACUCUUCAUGACAUGGUAGACCAACUGGAACAAAUUCUCAGGCAGCCUCCUUUGAGUGAGUCUCAUUGGAGAACCUUGCUGCAAGACAUGUUAACCAUGCAGCAGAAUGUGUACACGUGUCUGGAUCCCGAUGCUUGUUAUGAGAUAUUUACAGAAAGCCUUCUGUGCACCAGUCGCCUUGAGAACAUCCACCUAGCUGGUCAAAUGAUGCACUGCAGUGCUUGGUCAGUAAAUCCUGCAGCCAGUGUGGCCCAGAAAGGAAAAAUCCAGUACAGGGUCAGUUACGAGAAAAGUGUUGACUUGGUUUUGGCUGCCAGCAGAGAGUACUUCAACUCAUCCACCAAUCUUAGCGACAGCUGCAUGGAUCUGGCCAGGUAGAACACCUAUUUUUUCAUAAGAGGGGCAAGUCACAAUGCAAAAACUCCACCGUGACUCGAUUCUUUAUAAAAUGUCACAAGUACAGUUAUUUAUUGCUUCAGUAUAAAAUGAAAACUAAUGAAUUAUGAAUAUCCAUUAACUUCAUCUUUACCCAGUAUCUGCAGCCUGUUUUUUUCUAAGUCAUUUGUGCUGAUUAUCUAUAAGUCUGUAUUUUUCUUUUGUUGGAAGAGAUUCAUGUGAUGGCAUAUAAAUUCAAGUUCUGAAAAUUCCUAGGAUUUUGCACAGUAUUUAUCUGAUUAGAGACAAGAGACCUGAUUAGAUGAUAAAGUUCAAAAGUUCCUUCCAAGUAGAAAUAUCUAGAAUAUAAAUUCAGUUCCUCUCUUGGCCUGUCUUAUUAGUUUAAUCCUCUUAUUUAAAUAGAAGAGUCUAAAUUUUUAGUUACUCAAAAUUGAACUGAUUUUCCCUGAAAGAAUUUAUUCAUGAUUUGAAAUUAGUUUUUACAGUUACUUUUGAAGAAAUUAAAAGACUAAUAAAUACUGAUGAAAAAAUAUCACUUUAUGAUAAAAGCUUCAAAAAUAUUUCUAUAUUAGUCCAUUUUUCAUUAUUAAAAUGAAAUAACCUGAGACUAAGUACUUACAAAGAUGAUGUGUUUAUUUAGCUCAUAGUUUUGGAUGCUGAAAGUUUGAACCAUAAAGGGCUUGUCUCUGGUGGGGGCCCCUUACUACAUCACCACUUGGCAGAUGGCAUCACAAAGGCAGGAAGAGGUGGGAGAGGGAGGAACCCAUGGGAAGCCAGAGCAAGGGGACUGGGCUAGUCUUAGAACUUCUCACUAGUCCCCAAUUCUUAAUAUUACCACCACCAUACUAGGGACUAAGCUCCCAACAUCUGAACCCUUGAGGGACACUGAAACCAUGACCAAACCCAUAAAAUUGAUCUUACUUCUUCAGUGCUGCAGGAGCUGAAAAGUGGCAUCCUUUUUCUUGCCAUCUGACCAAUUUCCUGAUGUUCUUAUCACUAGCUGUUUUCUCUCUUGUAGUGUCUAGUCCUAUUACUACUACGUACU